UACACUCCUACGGGAGGCAGCAGUGGGGAAUUUUGGCCAAUGGGCGAAAGCCUGAUCCAGCAAUGCCGCGUGUGUGAAGAAGGCCUUCGGGUUGUAAAGCACUUUUGUCCGGAAAGAAAUCCUUGGCUCUAAUACAGUCGGGGGAUGACGGUACCGGAAGAAUAAGCACCGGCUAACUACGUGCCAGCAGCCGCGGUAAUACGUAGGGUGCGAGCGUUAAUCGGAAUUACUUGGCGUAAAGCGUGCGCAGGCGGUUUGCUAAGACCGAUGUGAAAUCCCCGGGCUCAACCUGGGAACUGCAUUGGUGACUGGCAGGCUAGAGUAUGGCAGAGGGGGGUAGAAUUCCACGUGUAGCAGUGAAAUGCGUAGAGAUGUGGAGGAAUACCGAUGGCGAAGGCAGCCCCCUGGGCCAAUACUGACGCUCAUGCACGAAAGCGUGGGGAGCAAACAGGAUUAGAUACCCCUGUAGUCCCA
rnacentral:rRNA from 1 species